AUGCAAGUCGAGCGGACAGAUGGGAGCUUGCUCCCUGAUGUUAGCGGCGGACGGGUGAGUAACACGUGGGUAACCUGCCUGUAAGACUGGGAUAACUCCGGGAAACCGGGGCUAAUACCGGAUGCUUGUUUGAACCGCAUGGUUCAGACAUAAAAGGUGGCUUCGGCUACCACUUACAGAUGGACCCGCGGCGCAUUAGCUAGUUGGUGAGGUAACGGCUCACCAAGGCGACGAUGCGUAGCCGACCUGAGAGGGUGAUCGGCCACACUGGGACUGAGACACGGCCCAGACUCCUACGGGAGGCAGCAGUAGGGAAUCUUCCGCAAUGGACGAAAGUCUGACGGAGCAACGCCGCGUGAGUGAUGAAGGUUUUCGGAUCGUAAAGCUCUGUUGUUAGGGAAGAACAAGUGCCGUUCAAAUAGGGCGGCACCUUGACGGUACCUAACCAGAAAGCCACGGCUAACUACGUGCCAGCAGCCGCGGUAAUACGUAGGUGGCAAGCGUUGUCCGGAAUUAUUGGGCGUAAAGGGCUCGCAGGCGGUUUCUUAAGUCUGAUGUGAAAGCCCCCGGCUCAACCGGGGAGGGUCAUUGGAAACUGGGGAACUUGAGUGCAGAAGAGGAGAGUGGAAUUCCACGUGUAGCGGUGAAAUGCGUAGAGAUGUGGAGGAACACCAGUGGCGAAGGCGACUCUCUGGUCUGUAACUGACGCUGAGGAGCGAAAGCGUGGGGAGCGAACAGGAUUAGAUACCCUGGUAGUCCACGCCGUAAACGAUGAGUGCUAAGUGUUAGGGGGUUUCCGCCCCUUAGUGCUGCAGCUAACGCAUUAAGCACUCCGCCUGGGGAGUACGGUCGCAAGACUGAAACUCAAAGGAAUUGACGGGGGCCCGCACAAGCGGUGGAGCAUGUGGUUUAAUUCGAAGCAACGCGAAGAACCUUACCAGGUCUUGACAUCCUCUGACAAUCCUAGAGAUAGGACGUCCCCUUCGGGGGCAGAGUGACAGGUGGUGCAUGGUUGUCGUCAGCUCCUGUCCUGAGAUGUUGGGUUAAGUCCCGCAACGAGCGCAACCCUUGAUCUUAGUUGCCAGCAUUCAGUUGGGCACUCUAAGGUGACUGCCGGUGACAAACCGGAGGAAGGUGGGGAUGACGUCGAAUCAUCAUGCCCCUUAUGACCUGGGCUACACACGUGCUGCAAUGGGCCGAACAAAGGGGAGCGAAUCCUCCAGGUUAACCCAAUCCC
rnacentral:rRNA from 1 species